UACGUAGGGUGCGAGCGUUAAUCGGAAUUACUGGGCGUAAAGCGUGCGCAGGCGGUUUGUUAAGACAGAUGUGAAAUCCCCGGGCUUAACCUGGGAACUGCAUUUGUGACUGGCAAGCUAGAAUAUGGCAGAGGGGGGUAGAAUUCCACGUGUAGCAGUGAAAUGCGUAGAGAUGUGGAGGAAUACCGAUGGCGAAGGCAGCCCCCUGGGCCAAUACUGACGCUCAUGCACGAAAGCGUGGGGAGCAAACAGG
rnacentral:rRNA from 1 species